ACGAGGAUGGAGACUCCCAAACCCUCGGACUCGCAGUGCUUGGGAGCACCCCAGGGUGCUCACUGCGGUUGUGAGGAGGCCAGCAUGUGCUCCAGAGCUCAGCUAACCCAGCUGGUACCGCACAGACCAACCGCAGCAGCGUGGCACAGAGAACAACCAGCAGCGAUACGCACUGGACUCCAUCGCCUGCUAUGCACUCGGCUCAAGCCUUAACCCCAUGGGGCUGGAUAGCUUCUCCUUCCCUGGCACAGCCUGAGGGGAGAACGCCCACUGCUCACCCUGCAAGUCAGUGACAGAACCACAGAUGGAACCCAGGAGUCCUGAAUCCAGUUCUCUGUUCUUGUUCCUAGAGCAUAUGUCCUCCCAGAACUGGGAAUAGAACCUAGGAGAUCUGUCACCCUCCCUACCCCCCCAACCACUAGACCCCGCUCCCCUCCCACAACCAGGAAUAGAACCCAGGAGUCCUGACACUCAGCCCCUCUCACCGCUCUCAUCCACUAGGUCCCGCUCCCCGCCCACAACCAGGAAUAGAACCCAGGAGUCCUGACACCCAGCCCCUCUCACCGCUCUCAUCCACUAGGUCCCGCUCCCCUCCCACAACCAGGAAUAGAACCCAGGAGUCCUGACACCCAGCCCCUCUCACCGCUCUCAUCCACUAGGUCCCGCUCCCCUCCCACAACCAGGAAUAGAACCCAGGAGUCCUGACACCCAGCCCCUCUCACCGCUCUCAUCCACUAGGUCCCGCUCCCCUCCCACAACCAGGAAUAGAACCCAGGAGUCCUGACACCCAGGCCCUCUCACCGCUCUCAUCCACUAGGUCCCGCUCCCCUCCCACAACCAGGAAUAGAACCCAGGAGCCCUGACACCCAGGCCCUCUCACCGCUCUCAUCCACUAGGUCCCGCUCCCCUCCCACAACCAGGAAUAGAACCCAGGAGUCCUGACACCCAGCCCCUCUCACCGCUCUCAUCCACUAGGUCCCGCUCCCUGCCCACAACCAGGAAUAGAACCCAGGAGUCCUGACAC